CAUUUUCCUUUGUAUUUUUUAUUAUAAAAAGUAUGCAAUGCAGAUACUAGAGUCCAUCGUUUUAGAAAUGUGUAUAGGUGAUUAGCAUUACAUAAAAGUAGUCUGUCUUCAUAUACCUUCAUAGCAGAUGUUGCAUAGCCAAUUUAUUAGAAUAGAAACUUGAAAACAUUUAAUAUAUCACUUUAAAUAAUGAUAACCUUUUUAACUCGAAAUAGUGAAAAACACUAUGAGGUUAGCUAUUUCUAAAUAACACAUAGACACAGACUCACACGAAUACGUAAAUACACAGUCACAUAACAAAAACGGCAUUAGUAAACAUGUAAGGUAAACAUAUACAAACUUGGAGGGUUGUUCACAAAAGUGAGAAUUGUCACAAAUGCAAUUUUAAAUUAAAAGCUAAAAUAUCUGAAUUGGAUUUGAAAAUUGUUCCACUAUGCUUCUUGAUCAGCUAGUUUUGUUCUAAAACUUGAAAUUCACGUUUAAUUAUUUUUAAUGAACUGAAUAGAAUUCUAACGUUAGAGAAUAACACUAACAAUGUGGAAUACAAUCACAUUUGGAAGACAAAGUAUUGAUUCAAGUAGAUCAGAGCUUAAAGGUACACUAUAGUCAACAAAACAACAACUAACUUAAUGAAGCAGUUUUGGUGUAUAAAUCAUGCCCCUGCAGUCUCACGGCUUAAUUCCCUGCCAUUUAGGAGUUAAAUCACUUUGUUCAUGCAGCCCUAGUCACACCUCCCUGCAUGUGACUUACACUGACUUCCUAAACACUACCUGCAUAAAGUCAUCUAAUGUUUACACUUCAUUUAUUGCAAAUUCUGGAGCCUCCUGUGUAUAAUUAAAGUUCACUUUACAGAGCAGGAGAUAAAAACGUUUAAAUGAAGUUUCAUCUGUUUAAAAAUGAAUCUAUUUUGUUUUCAUGCAGACUGUGUCAGGCACAGCCACACUGGCUAUGGCUGUAUAAACAGAAACAAAAUCAAUUUAACUCCUAAAUGGCAAAUAAUUGAGCAGUGAGACCGCAGGAGCAUAAUCUAUACAUACAAACUGAAUCACGGUUGUUUUGAUGCUUAUAGUAUCCAUUUAAAUGUGGGAUAAAGGAAAGUGUUUGAAACAUUUAAGGUAAGAAAAAAGGGGGUGUUUAAAUGAUGUGGAAUUUGAAGGGUAAUUUCAAACUCACUACUCACCCUCCUAUGAUGUCUGUACUCCAGUCACCCUCCUAUGAUUGAUAUUAGAGAUGCAGUAGCUGUAAUACAGAGUGCAUAGAACAGCACUCAAUGCCAUCCUAUUAUAUACAGAGUGCAUCAUUCCCUGAUCCUCCAGCAAGGCAUUUUCUUUGUGAGAGGCUUAGUGGGCAGAUGGGAAGUGGUCCCUUCCACAUCCUGUCCAACCUCACAGACAGACACUGGAGAAUCUGGGAUCUGAUUUUUUUAUACCCUCUAUAACUGUUCCUGGAACUAUGCUAUCAAGUAUAGGAGACUGACUGGGAUACAGAGGACACUGACUGAGGCUCUAGGUACUUAUCUCUCCCCAUCCGUUCACUUGCAUUUCAAAAAGGCACAUUAUAAAUUAUGAAACCAGUCACCGCCUACAGGACAGGCAUCUGUAGGCAGGUGCAUACUCUGACUAAUGGGAAAUCCACUUGUGACAGUGUCAAAUUCAAUAAGGGACAAAAAACAACUUUCAAGAAAAUAAAUAUUAUUAUUAAGCCAUUUAAGUUAGGGCAUGCUAUGCCAUUCUGGAGGAGGCUAGCUCAAGACAACAUUUGGGCGGAAUAGCACACCAUAACAAUUUAGCCAUCCUUCCAGUCUGCCUCCUUUCCUAAUGCUACGAAUGAUAGUUUAAAAAAAAAUUGUAACCCCUUCUUUGCCAGAUAACUGUACUGUACAGUACCUAUGCUGUACGGUAAUGUAUCAGUAAUCAGUGUGAUCAGAGGGCACUCUGAUCAAGCUGUCUUUUUUUUGUUUCUCAAGGUAAAGAAGGUAUGGAAUACUUCACUUACAUAAAGGACCCGCAGAACCCUGGUCAAAUAGCUGACACAUAUGUGCUGAUCAUAACCAAGUUGUAACAUAUCAAUAUUUAAUUACAUUGGAUUCAAACAAAAGUGUGUCUCGUAUCCUCCAAUUAGUGAUGUGUUCUUUACCAUGACAAAAAGAGGGGGUGGGGAGGGAAAGAAGUGGAGGGGUGAUGGGAAGAGGUGGGAGGGAAUGGAAAGGAGGGGAGGAUGAAGAGAGAGGUCAAGGUGAAGGCUAUACUUAAUAUGUAAUAGGGUCACACAAAUCUGUACUUAUGUGUUAUAUGUUUGAUUUUAUUUUGAGCUCUAAGUAUCUCAUUCCUUCUUGCUCAGCUGGUGAUCUGUGAAUCUUGAUUUCUCAGUCGUUAUCUCUAUCUGAAACCUGCAUGUUUCUUUAUGUUUAAACCCUGCACUCUAUCUGAAAAUCUG
rnacentral:lncRNA from 1 species